AGAAAGAGUAAGGGUUUGUCUUAAAAAAGGAUCAUUCCAGAACAGCUAUUCCUUAUUAAUCAUUCUCAAUCACCUCUCAGAUUAGGAUGAUGAAGUUAAUUGGGAACAUCUUGUCCAUUCAGACUUACAACUUACCUUGGUUUGAAUCAAUGACCCUGUUUAGAUGUGGCCUUAGUUAGUACAUCAUCAUGCAAUCAUAGUGAUGGAUUCAUCAAUGAAAAUAGACUAGCAGUUGCAACAGAAGUAGAGUUGCUGUAUGGAGACUCAACUAUUUGUUGUAACUCAGGCAGGUGAUAGUUGUUCUUAUAAUGUUAGAUCUCAUCAGUUCUUGCAUGUGACAUUUUGUACCUUACAAGUCUCUGGAUCUGCUUUGUUCAAUUAUUCCUUAAAUAUGUGGAGACUUUAACACCAGCGAAGAUUUGAGAUCCGUAGCUUCUUUGUUUAUUAAGUUCUUAGCUUGCAAGAUUUCUCAUCCAAAAGGGCUGAGAAAGUACCUGGCACAUCCUGGAUGCUUAUUGAAUACAUUAAAUAAAUCAAACCGUUUUAUGAUAAAAUUCCACUCCCCCACACCAAACAGAUGUAAGUGCAAGUCAAAGAAGGUUGAAAAUUGUACUACAUUGAUUUUGCUGCAGUUUUCCCCAAAGGAAAAAAACCUGUACAUAGCUUGAGACAAAAACAUGGAAAAUUUCAGUUGUCACGAACAACUGGAAAGAGAAAUGGAGGAAAGACAGAAGUCAAAACCAAACUUCACAAGCAGACUGCAUAAUUUAUGUACUCUCUAGUGUUCUGCAUUACAGGCGUUCCUGGACUUAAACAUAAAGUGUUUUCCUUGGGUUCAUCACAUUUACAGAGAAGAGUGCCAGGUAGCUUAAUGCUGGAAGCUUCCAGCUUACUCAGGGGAAAUCACAGAUCCGUGGAGAAGGCUCCUUGCUUGAUUUCAGAUUCUGAGAUGCUGGAGAAGAUAAGACUCAACCUAGAAAGGAUGACUGACACAAGACUGGGCAUAAUGUUACUUAAAGGUAUACGUGGGUAUACAUUAUACAUGGUAUACCUUUAGCACAAAAAUCCAAGAAAAAUCUUGUUCAUCUGCCAUAUCACCCAGACCAUUUCUUGUACCUCUGUAAUUCCCUGUUCAUCUCUCACCUCCCAUGUUCACACUGACAAAGCUGCUCCAUCCUAUGCACUGGGAAUCAGGGAUCCUUUGUCAAAACCUAACAGGUGAUCCAGCCUGCAAUACUUGGUCAUGAUAUCUGGGUAACUUUCUCUCUGCCCUUGCAUACAUGCAAUCUUAGUCCACGUAUGUAAUGUUUUAUAAGGAACUUUUAUGAGUUCUUUUUUUCCAUAGGUGAAAAAGUAAGGAAAGAAGAGAAAGGAAGGGAAAAGGACAAUUAUAAAUAUACACAAGACAGAUCAGGAAAAACAAUGAAACAACUGAAACCACUUCCAGUCUCUCUGUCCAACAAACUCUUCACUCUUAUGGUCUCUGGCAACAUUUCACAGCAUUUCUGCUGCAUACAUUACUGAAGUAUUUCAUUUCCUCUCCAUGUGACCAGCUACGUGCAUUGAGAGAAAGUAAAUCCAGACUUCAAAGUAUCUGACAGGAGGCAGGCAGUUGCUUCUCCAUCAGUCCAAGGAAGAAGCCAAAGGACAAACUGGCAAGGUCUCCAGG